rnacentral:rRNA from 1 species
AGGAUUAACGCUGGCGGCGUGCCUGACACAUGCAAGUCGAACGAGGCCGCAAGGCCGAGUGGCGGACGGGUGAGUAACACGUGACCAACCAACCUCGAAGUUGGGAAUAGCUCUGCGAAAGUAGGGGUAAUACCGAAUGUGGCCCAGGGCGGGCAUCCGCCUUGGUCUAAAGAUUCAUCGCUUCGAGACGGGGUCGCGGCCUAUUAGCUUGUUGGUGAGGUAACGGCUCACCAAGGCGAUGAUGGGUAGCUGGUCUGAGAGGACGACCAGCCACACUGGGACUGAGACACGGCCCAGACUCCUACGGGAGGCAGCAGUGAGGAAUCUUCCGCAAUGGGCGAAAGCCUGACGGAGCAACGCCGCGUGUGGGAUGAAGACUCUAGGGUUGUAAACCACUGGUCGGAGGGGACGAUCGUGACGGUACCCUCCAAGAACGCCCCGGCUAACUCGCGCCAGCCAGCCGC